rnacentral:rRNA from 1 species
UGGUGCCAGCAGCCGCGGUAAUUCCAGCUCCAAUAGCGUAUAUUAAAGUUGUUGCAGUUAAAAAGCCCGUAGUUGAACUUCAGACCUGGUGGGGUGGUCCGCUUAACGGCGUGUACUGCUCUGCUGGGCCUUACCUCUUGGUGAGCCGGCGUGGCCUUAACUGGUUGCGUCGGGGAACCAGGACUUUUACCUUGAGAAAAUUAGAGUGUUCAAAGCAGGCCUAUGCCUGAAUACAUUAGCAUGGAAUAAUAAAAUAGGACGUGCGGUUCUAUUUUGUUGGUUUCUAGAGUCGCCGUAAUGAUUAAUAGGGAUAGUUGGGGGCAUUGGUAUUGAGUCGCUAGAGGUGAAAUUCUUGGAUUGACUCAAGACCGACUACUGCGAAAGCAUUUGCCAAGGAUGUUUUCAUUAAUCAAGGACGAAGGUUAGGGGAUCGAAAACGAUCAGAUACCGUUGUAGUCUUAACAGUAAACUAUGCCGACUAGGGAUCGGGCGACCUCAAAUUUGAUGUGUCGCUCGGCACCUUACGAGAAAUCAAAGUUUUUGGGUUCU